CCGAGUGUGUGUGGGGCGUGUUGCACAUUGUGCCUGCCAGGCCACAUCUUUACACGGCAGCCACUCUGCCUUCCUGCCUGCGUGGGUGGCCUCACAAUGGGGUUUGUUUCCCUUCUGUGGUGUCCAGUGAUAUUGCCAGGCAACCGUCAUAUUUCUGUAAAGUCUGUAGUAAAUGGUUUUGCUUUGAGCCUUUCGAACAGCAGAUAUAUAAGUUAUCCAUGUACAAAAAAACGACAGUAUGUAAUACAUGGUUCUUUAUACAUUUUUGUGAAUUAAUUUUGUUGUUAUUGUUCACCAAGGCCUGAUAGUUUUGCGGUAGAAUGCACCUUCAUUCUUAUGUAACACAGCAUUAGACGAUAGUGCUUUAGCGUUGGGCGCUAUUGUUUCCUUGCGGCGCGUGCAAACAUACACCUUGUUUGGCCACGGUGCUGGGCUCUGAGUGGGUAAUAAGAGGUGAAAGGUGAUGAUGAAAUGCGACCACGCCUCGUACCUGUCGAACACCUGCGUCUGUUACUGACAGUUCUGAAUACGCGUCCGUUAUAACCACACGUGCGAGCUGGACACCAUCGAACCUAUACAUUACAUUGUACAUUCAGAGCAGAUGCACAGCACAAACAGACCUUUAGGAGUCUGUGAUGUCAAAGCUAAAGGACUGCAGCCGGGUGGCGCCUUCACUGGAGGUGAGCAGGCCAUCCACUCCGCUGCCAGGCAUUGGAGGAGAAAGCCAUACGGAGCACGCUGAUGGGGGCCUCAAAAAGACAAGCAGCUUCACAGGGAAGAGGAGCCGAAUCACCAACGCCACCCUGCCCGAGGAGAAGGAAGCAGUUAAAGCCUGGAUAAGCCAGAAUAUCAAAAUGAAGGUGUGCUUCUGGUACAUCGAGUCUUCGACAGCUGGG